AUCAACGCUGGCGGCGUGCCUAACACAUGCAAGUCGAACGCGAGAGGGGCUUCGGCCCUGAUUGAGUGGCAAACGGGUGAGUAACGCGUGGGUGACCUACCUUCGAGUGGGGGAUAACGUUCCGAAAGGGACGCUAAUACCGCAUAACAUCCUGUCUUUGGACAGAUGGAGACCAAAGCCGGGGAUCGUAAGACCUGGCGCUUGAGGAGGGGCCCGCGUCCGAUUAGCUAGUUGGUGGGGUAAGGCUCACCAAGGCAACGAUCGGUAGCCGGCCUGGGAGGGCGGACGGCCACACUGGGACUGAGACACGGCCCAGACUCCUACGGGAGGCAGCAGUGGGGAAUUGUUCGCAAUGGGCGC
rnacentral:rRNA from 1 species